GCGAGAAAACUUUGCAAUGUGCGAAAGCACGACAAGGUUAAUCCGAGUGGUUUCUGCUAAAGAAACCUUUUGUCAGUCCUAGAAACACUAACGAAUAAGGGGUGGGCAAGUUCUGGUGUCAGCCGCCGCGGUAAAACCAGCACCUCAAGUGGUCAGGAUGAUUAUUGGGCCUAAAGCAUCCGUAGCUCGUUUUGUAAGUUUUCGGUUAAAUCCAUGCGCUUAACGUAUGGGCUGCCGGGAAUACUGCAUAACUAGGAAGUGGGAGAGGUAGACGGUACUCGGUAGGAAGGGGUAAAAUCCUUUGAUCUAUUGAUGACUACCUGUGGCGAAGGCGGUCUACCAGAACACGUUCGACGGUGAGGGAUGAAAGCUGGGGGAGCAAACAGGAUUAGAUACCCCAGUAGUCCCUGAGCGGGCUGGCAAGGCGCAU
rnacentral:rRNA from 1 species